rnacentral:rRNA from 1 species
UACAGAGGUGGCAAGCGUUGUUCGGAAUUACUGGGCGUAAAGGGCGCGUAGGCGGUCUUGUAAGUCUUGUGUGAAAUCCCUCGGCUUAACUGAGGAACUGCACGGGAUACUGCAUGACUUGAGAUCGGGAGAGGGAAGCGGAAUUCCGGGUGUAGCGGUGAAAUGCGUAGAUAUCCGGAGGAACACCGGUGGCGAAGGCGGCUUCCUGGACCGACACUGACGCUGAGAAGCGAAAGCAUGGGGAGCGAACAGG